UCAUGAAUCAUGCUGUCCUCGGAUAACCCAGUUGUCACUUAGAAGCUCUGUAUUCUUUGGAAAGGUGACAGUUCCUCCUUGUUCACUCUCUUGAUGCCACCAUGUAAGAUGUGCUUCCUCUUCUCCAAUGAUUGCAAGUUUCCUGAGGCCUCCCCAGCCAUGCAGAACUAUGUCUCAUUUUCCACUGCAACUGCUUGCAGCUGUAUCCCUCCACAAAUGGAAACAGAAUGCUCGCAACAACCACCACCAAACGUAUAAGUUCUUAUGCCAGAGUCCUAGAGUACUGCAGAAAUGUGUUUGGAAAACCCUCCCUUUGAGGAAUAAUAAAUAGUAGCUGACAGUCACAGAGCCUUUGGAGGGGUGGGCUGGGUGCAGCUGUUAUGAACGUUUGGCACAUUCACAUCUUGUUUAAUCUUCCCAGUAACAUGAUCGCUUUUAUUUUCCCCAUUUCCCAGAUGGAGGAGUUGAGGCACAGAGAAGUAAGGUAAAUUGUACAAGAGAGAGUUAAGGAUUAGGUUUCAAAACUAGGAAAGUCUAAUAUCAGAACCUGAACUUUUACCCUAUGUUGUGUUGUUACCGUUAGGAAAUACAUAGGAUGAAAGGGCAGGCAUUUCCUUCCUUCUUUCCUUCUCCUUUUUGUCUCCCUCCCUUUUUCUCUCCCUCCCUCUUCUCUCCCAAUUUUCUGCCCUCCCUCUUUCUCUCCCUUCCUGCUUUCCUUUCUUUCAUUAUAUUUUUAAAAAUAUACAUUUAAAUAUAUUAAAUAUCUAUCAUAUUUAAUAUGUGUAAUGCAUAUAUAUAUAUCAUACAUUUUCUUCUGUUGAGGACGAGAAUACACUUAGAAAAUGUAAAAUACGUGGAAAAGAAACUAACUUUUCUUUAGUGUGCCAGACACCAUGGCAGACACUAUAUAUAUUUUAUCUUGGAUAUUCUCCACAACAUUUUUAGUAACUUUCCUAAAGUCCAGUUUGUCGUCAACCUGAGACACAAAGGAGUUAUUUGCCUGCGUGCUCUAUGUUGGGCAGUGAAUCCUACAGGUUUUUGUUACACAUGAUCCUUAGUCAAAGAAGUGUCAUCAUGGAUAGGCACACUGCAAAAAUGAUUUGAGCUUUAGAUUUGAUGAUUAUAUUUAACAGCUGAAGCUGUAACUCCUGAACACUGGAGACAAGUUGGCAGGAGACAUAGCCACAGGAAGGAAAGUGUAAAAAUGAUGAGAAAAAUGAUUCACAGUUUUGCCAGUUUAAAACAUCUUAGACACAUUGUUUUUAACAUUUGUCUUAUAGCUCCUAGAACUCCUUAGGCACAAACAAUUUCUUGAUCCAUUAAAAGAGCUCUGUGAUUAGCUCAUUAUAUGCUAGGCAGAAGCUCUUUAACUGGAUCCAUCUCUUUAAUUUACAAUUGAUGCAAAUUCUAUGCCUCAUUCCACUUUUCUCCUAUUAGAAAACACAUUCUAGCCUGUAAGAGAAGAGUGGAUGGUUAUCAGUGGGAUGCAUGGCCCCAGUCUAUAGAAGAUGCAGGGAAAUAUGAUAUAACACAUAAGUUAAGAUCAGGAAGGGGUGUAACACUGAAGUUUUUAUUAUAAAAAUAUAUUGAGAGCCCAGUUCAAAACUGCAAACAGAUCAGUAAAACCAUGUUAGAUACUGUCUUAAGAUGUAUCGUCAAGUUUUUGUUUAUUGUAGCUAUAUAGCUUAAAAUUAAUUCAGAUAUCAAUCUGAUAUAACAAAUUCUAUUUCUUUAUGACUCAGUUACAGUUAUUCUAUUGUAUCAUUUUAAAGCUGAGCUGUACAAUUUGGUAGUCACUAGUCACAUGUCGCUACUACUGAGCACUUGACAAAUAGCUUUUAGAAUUGAGUUGUUCUGUGACUGUAAAUACAUGCUUGAUAUUGAAGACAGUAUGAAAUUAAAAUUGAAUUUUACUCGUUAAUAAGUUUUAUGGUAAUUACAUGUUGAAGGGAAUAGUAAUUUGAAUAUCUUAGAUAAAAUCAAAUCUUAGAUUUAAAUGACUUUAAAUUAAUUUCUCUUUUUUUUUCUUGUUUGGUAUGGCUACUAGAUAAUUUAAAAUUACUUAUGUGACUUACAUUGUAUUUCUCUUGGAAAACAUUGCUCUAGAUUUCCCUCUUCUCCUUUCGAGCUGUCUUACAAAUAUUUUGAAUAAUAGAAUAUUAAAAGAUGAUGAAGAUCAGUGAAUCAAUGCAUCUUCAUUUGGCUCAUGGAAAAUAAUAAUAAAGAAUUCCCCCAUUAGUAGAUAAAGCGUUUG
rnacentral:lncRNA from 13 species